rnacentral:rRNA from 1 species
UACGAAGGGGGCUAGCGUUGUUCGGAAUUACUGGGCGUAAAGCGCACGUAGGCGGACUUGUAAGUCAGGGGUGAAAUCCCGGGGCUCAACCCCGGAACUGCCUUUGAUACUGCGGGUCUUGAGGUCGAGAGAGGUGAGUGGAAUUCCGAGUGUAGAGGUGAAAUUCGUAGAUAUUCGGAGGAACACCAGUGGCGAAGGCGGCUCACUGGCUCGAUACUGACGCUGAGGUGCGAAAGCGUGGGGAGCAAACGGG